GAUUCAUGUAAUUAUUGUUAACCUCUUUGUGUUCCGAGCUUUUAUGAUUGGUAGCUUAGCGAGGUGUUGGUAUGAUACCAAUCCCUGGUUUGCUUGUUCCUAAUUGAGUUAUGCUUGCACUCAAAUCUAGGGGAGCGGUAUUUUGGCUCACUCGCAAUGCUUUCAUGUACCCUUCCCGCAUUAUGAGUGCCACUUGGCUCCAUGGUGUGAUAUAUAAGUUUC
rnacentral:pre_miRNA from 1 species